rnacentral:rRNA from 1 species
AGUGAACGCUGGCGGUAUGCCUAACACAUGCAAGUCGAACGGCAGCACAGUAAGAGCUUGCUCUUACGGGUGGCGAGUGUCGGACGCUUGAGGAAUACAUCGGAAUAUACUUUUUCGUGGGUGAUAACGUAGGGAAACUUACUCUAAUACCGCAUACGACCUACGUGUGAAAGCAGGGGAUCUUCUGACCUUGCGCUAUUGAAUGAGCCGAUGUCGGAUUAGCUAGUUGGCGGGGUAAAGGCCCACCAAGGCGACGAUCCGUAGCUGGUCUGAGAGGAUGAUCAGCCACAAUGGAACUGAGACACGGUCCAGACUCCUACGGGAGGCAGCAGUGGGGAAUAUUGGACAAUGGGCGCAAGCCUGAUCCAGCCAUACCGCGUGGGUGAAGAAGGCCUUCGGGUUGUAAAGCCCUUUUGUUGGGAAAGAAAAGCAGCAGGUUAAUACCCCGCUGUUCUGACGGUACCCAAAGAAUAAGCACCGGCUAACUUCGUG